CGCAGCUAGUUCGUCUCGCCCCCAGGCCCCGACUCCGGCUGGUCGGCGCACUAUGCUGCUGCUAGCUGCCAAGCUCGGUCUUGGGGCCCGACGCUUCCUGAAAGCCGGCACCGAGGGGUCGUGGCUCUGAGCUUAGCGGGUCCUGGCUCCGUGGUCCCCGGGCGCGAUGCCGCUGACUUUCCAGGACGUGGCAGUGUACUUCUCCCCAGCGGAGGGGCAGCAGCUGGGGCCCCAGCAGCGGGCGCUGUACCGGGAUGUGAUGCUGGAGAACUACGGGAACGUGGCCUCCCUAGGAUUCCCUGUCCCUAAGCCAGAGCUGAUCUCCCAGCUGGAGCAAGGCGAGGAGCUGUGGGUCAUGGAUCUUCUGGGGGCUGAAGAAUCAGAGGUCUUGAGAAACUGCCGAACAGAUUCUGAUACUGGGAUUGAGAAGGAACUGUCCAUUCUAAACCAGGAGUGUUCUGAAGAUGUGAAGAGCCCAGCAUUUGUAUCAAGAAGAUUCUCAAGGGCCAAUUCACAGACACCUAUGUUCCAGGAUCCUUGGGACCUGGAGGGGAAGGGAGAAGGGAGCCUGGGAAACACUGCUGGCCAGAGUCUGAAGAAACCCCAUCUGCACAAGAGAGUUUUUAGAGAGGAAUCUGUCCUGUGUAGGGAGCAGCCUCCAAGAGAGAGUGUCCAGGAGUGUUCUUUAAAUGUUGAUAGACAUUUAAAUACAAACCAAAAUGUUGUUAGACUUCAAAGGAAUAAAACAGGAGAGAGAGUCUUUAAAUGUGAUAUAUGCAGCAAAACCUUCAAAUAUAAUUCAGACCUCCGUCGACAUCAUAGACGCCACACAGGGGAAAAGCCCUAUGAGUGCAGUUGGUGUGGGCGAGCCUUCACACACAGCGCGAGCCUCAUCCUGCACCGCCGAGUCCACACUGGCAGCAAACCAUUUAAAUGUGAAGAUUGUGGGAAGACUUUUGGGCUCAAUUCCUACCUCAUUCUGCAUCGGAGAAUUCACACUGGAGAAAGACCCUUUGGGUGCAGUGAAUGUGGGAAAGCCUUCAGUCGAAGCUCCAGCCUCAUUCAGCAUCGCGUCAUUCACACAGGAGAGAAGCCUCACAAGUGUGAGGAAUGUGGCAAGGCCUUUAGCCAGAGCCCCCAGUUAACUCAGCACCAGAGGAUCCACACUGGGGAGAAGCCGCACAAGUGCAGUCAGUGUGGCAAGGCCUUCAGCCGGAGCUCCAGCCUCAUUCAGCAUCAGAGAAUUCACACUGGGGAGAAGCCCCACAAGUGCAGUCAGUGUGGCAAGGCCUUCAGCCAGAGCUCCAGCCUUUUCCUCCAUCAUAGGGUCCACACUGGAGAAAAGCCCUACGUGUGCCAGGAGUGUGGCCGGGCCUUUGGUUUCAAUUCUCACCUUACUGAACACACACGGAUUCACACUGGAGAGAAGCCUUAUGUGUGUGGUGAGUGUGGCAGGGCCUUCAGCCGGAGUUCCACUCUCGUGCAGCAUCGCAGAGUGCACACAGGGGAGAAGCCAUAUCAGUGCUCUGAGUGUGGGAAAGCCUUCAGCCAGAGCUCCCAACUCACCCUGCACCAGCGUGUCCACACUGGCGAGAAGCCCUAUGAGUGCCGGGCCUGUGGAAAGGCCUUUAGCCGGAGGUCAACCCUCACACAGCAUCAGCACAUUCACACGGGAGAUAAUCCUCGCCAGCGUAGAAAGGGUGGCCCCAGCCUGAUGCCCACUGGAGAGCGACGUGGCAGAGCCUUCAGCCAUGGUGCAGACCUCAUUCUGCACUGGACAAUCCACACUGAGGGUCUGGUGCCAACCAGUGGAUUCGGGUUCCAAAGCCCACUGCAGCCUCACCAAGGCCAGCGGUAGCGGUGGCAGCAGAAGACGUGGGCCAGCAGGGGUUGGAGCAGCCCUGGGCAGCUGGAAGCGCGGAGACACGAAAGAUAGCAAGAUUCAGCAGGUGGGACCUCGCCUCCGGUUGUGCAGGCGGCAAGGAUCGAACCCAGGGUCUGGAACGUGCGAGAGGAGCGCUGUACAGCUGAGCCACAACCCCAGCGCAAAAUAAAAAAAAUUUAAAGGCCUGAGGAUGUAUGUCAGUGGCAAUCUUCCACAAACACAGACACGUUUAAAUCCUAUACACGUUUUAUUUGUAUGUCUAAACACUUCGGGGGAGUGGAAUUGCUGGGGCAGUGUCUGGCAGUAUUCAUGCUGAGACUUGCUACCCAAGUGUGCCCAACUGGCCAUGAGCCCUGCCCCAAUUCUGCCACUAGCUGGACAAAAAGUUGCUUUCCCCACACCCCGUGUUGACAAAUAACAGUGCUACACCCAUUGAUGGGGAAACUAGGUGUUUGGUUUUUGAGGAGGUACUAGGGAUUGAACCCAGGGGCACAUUGCUACUGAGCUACAUCCCAGCCCUUUUUUAUUUUUUAAUUUGAGACAGGGUCCAGUGAGAACUAAAUUGCUGAAGGUCUUUCUAAAUUAUAGAGCCUGGACUGGAACUUGAGAUCCUCCUGUCUCAGCUUGUUGCUAGGAUUACAGCAGUGUGCCACUAUGCCUGGCUCUGAUUGUAGUUUUAAUUUGUAUUUCUCUCCUGAUGAGAACUCAAACAAUUGUCAUGGUUAAAAGUCAUGAGUAGCUAUUUUUGUGUGACUUACACUCACACACAUCUAACACAGCUGUACAUUUGCAGCAGAACCAAUAGCCUGAGUUGAGUCUGCACAAACAGACCCUGGAGAAGGCAAAAGCAUGGCCAAGGACAGAUGGUGGGGUGUGCAACACUCAGGAGGAGCUGACUUAGGAUCUUAAUCAUUUGCAUCCUCCCACAUGAUUAAGGAAUUAUCUAAGAAGGUAGGAAGGGGGCUGGGGGGUGUAUAGCUCAGUGAUAGAGUGGCUUGUUUAGCACGCUCAAAGCCUUGGGUGAGACAGCCACUGGCCAGCUCUAUUUGGGUACACAAUAUAAGCUUGAGUUAAUUUGAUUUAAAAUUGGAGUCAGUGGUCUUUUCUUUGCAUCACGG